AUUGAACGCUGGCGGAAUGCUUUACACAUGCAAGUCGAACGGCAGCACGGGGGCAGCCCUGGUGGCGAGUGGCGAACGGGUGAGUAAUACAUCGGAACGUGCCCGGUCGUGGGGGAUAACGUAGCGAAAGUUACGCUAAUACCGCAUACGAUCUGAGGAUGAAAGCGGGGGACCUUCGGGCCUCGCGCGAUCGGAGCGGCCGAUGUCAGAUUAGGUAGUUGGUGGGGUAAAGGCCUACCAAGCCGACGAUCUGUAGCUGGUCUGAGAGGACGACCAGCCACACUGGGACUGAGACACGGCCCAGACUCCUACGGGAGGCAGCAGUGGGGAAUUUUGGACAAUGGGCGCAAGCCUGAUCCAGCCAUUCCGCGUGCAGGACGAAGGCCUUCGGGUUGUAAACUGCUUUUGUACGGAACGAAAAGGCUCUGGCUAAUACCUGGGGCCCAUGACGGUACCGUAAGAAUAAGCACCGGCUAACUACGUG
rnacentral:rRNA from 1 species